ensembl:lncRNA
CCAGUUCCUUUGUUUGGUUUUUGCUGCGUCGUGAAUAAUGGCGGGACGACGUCUCGCGUUCAACUCGCCUUCAACUCCUCUCCGCGGUCAGCAACUUUCGGCCAGUCCGCAGACAGACGAGAAGAAACUGCUGAAUGCUCUCAGUGGAUCGUCUCGUCAACUCCAACAACAAACUGCCGAUAUCAACGAGCGGUUCGUUUUACGAAUUACAGGCAAGGGUACAAGGACUAAUCUCGCCUCAUAAUGAGGCGGUGACCUUGUAUUUGCUCCGGGAAAAGUCCAGAUUUAGGCGACGUCAUUGUGUCCGCCUGUAGGACGUAUUUUGAGACGGUACACGGGAGCUUCAGGUUUUCCCAGCCGGAACACUCAUUGCGGGCGGAAGCUGCGAAGGAUUCAGCGCGGAGUCGAGCGAGAAGAAAGAGGCUGCUGGAAUCGAGACAAAGUGUGCUGGCUGAUGACGAGGUGGAACUCUGGAAAUCCGCCACCGUGAUGCUCACGUCGGACGGAGAGGAUGGCGUUGUUGGCGGGGUCUCGGGGGGGAUUGUACGGUCGCCGCCAUUUCUGAGUGCAGUCCCGGUUAGAGGCGACUCAGCAGAGGUGUCAAAAGUAUUCACAUUCAUUACUCAAGUACAAGUACAGAUACUAGGUUUUAAAAAGACUCCUGUAGAAGUUGAAGUAUCGACUCAAGCUAUAUAUAUAUAUAUAUAUA